ACGACACCGACUUGUUAACGUUUGUAGUUUUUUAUGUUAAAUUUGGAUUGCAAGUCUUCGAAUUUAUCCUGCAAUGGAUUUCGGAUGUCCCGAAAGUUCGAGUGGGUUAUGACGUCAUUGGAAACCGACCAUGUCCUGAAGUUACAGCCUCGUUUCCCUCCAGAUUUGUGUACUGGUGGAUCACAAAGCUGGUCGUCACUGGCUACAAACGAGGAAUAG